AUUCAAGAAUUCUAAUGAGCUGUGGUGCAGAGACAGCUAAGUGCCAGAUGCUCUGCUACAGUCUGGGCUGCUACUGUGGUGGGGUAUGAGACAGAAAAAAAAGGUCAGAUGCAGGCAGAGGGGACUACAGAAAGAGGAGCAACAGGCCACAAAAAACACACCAACUCAGAUGGGCAGGGAGGGAGAUUCUUGCAGUGCACCAAGCUUCUAUAUUUGAACAAGGAUAGUGAAAUAUUCUACAGGUUAUCAUCAUCAGUGUUAAAAAGUGACUACAUGUCUGUGUGUGUUUAGUACACAUUCUGAUUUUCGUAUCAUUUGACAGAAAUAUCAGGGAGCAUGCCGGCGAUAAGUCCCUGCAGUCGCAGUACCCUCUGUGCACUCGAUGACUCAGAUGGACUGAGCGUCUGCCAUGCAACCAGAAGAGCCCAGGUUCGAGUCCAGGUUGGGGCACACAUUUUCAACUGUCCCCAUUGAUCUAUAUCAACACCUGUCAACAGCUAAUGGGACUUGGAGGAUUCAUAAAAGGUAGCUCACAAGCUGUAUGGAGAAAGAAGUGAGAACAUCUACCACAAUGUCUCCUCCCUUUCCCUUUUUGUAAUAGAGUAUCAUGAAGAAUGCCACACAUAGUGACUUCCCACCCUCUAGCUUAAAUGUUUUAGUGAAAGUGGUUCAUAAGGAUACACACAACAGUGACUACAGCUGUGACUAAAUG